rnacentral:rRNA from 1 species
UACGGAGGGUGCAAGCGUUAUCCGGAUUCACUGGGUUUAAAGGGUGCGUAGGUGGGUUGAUAGGUCAGUGGUGAAAUCCCCGAGCUUAACUUGGGAACUGCCAUUGAUACUAUUGAUCUUGAAUACCGUGGAGGUCAGCGGAAUAUGUCAUGUAGCGGUGAAAUGCUUAGAUAUGACAUAGAACACCAAUUGCGAAGGCAGCUGGCUACGCGAAUAUUGACACUGAUGCACGAAAGCGUGGGGAUCAAACAGG